rnacentral:misc_RNA from 1 species
GUGAAUCAUCAAAUCUUUGAACGCAAAUUGCACUCGCUGGUAUUCCGGAGAGUAUGCCGGUUUGAGGGUCAGUAUAAAUCAAAAUCGGUGUGGCUGCUGCUUUUCGAGCUGACGAACCGGAUUUGGGUCGCCACGCCUUCGGCUAAGUACACUAAAAUUUUGCAUGCUGCUUUUCGUACGUAUUUACAUG